GACGAACGCUGGCGGCGUGCCUAAUACAUGCAAGUCGAACGCAGUGGGGACGGGUGAGUAACACGUGGGUAACCUCCCAUCAGAGGGGAUAACACUUGGAAACAGGUGCUAAACCGAUACUGAUGGAUGGACCCGCGGUGCAUUAGCUAGUUGGUGAGGUAACGGCGCACCAAGGCCAGGAUGCAGAGGGGACCGGAGAGGGUGAUAGGCGACACUGGGAAUGAGAAAAGGCCCAGACUCCUACGGGAGGCAGCAGAGGGGAAUCUGCGGCAAUGGGGGGAACGCUGACCGAGCAACGCCGCGUGAGUGAGGAAGGUAUUCGGAUCGUAGAGCUCUGUUGUUAAGGAAGCGGUGCUUAACCAGAAGGGGACGGCUAACUACGUGCCAGCAGCCGCGGUAAUAC
rnacentral:rRNA from 1 species